GUCGAGGGCUGUUUUGAUGAAUGUGAUUAUUAAAUAAGUUAAAUUUACUAUUUUAGAUCAAGAAGUUCAAACUCGAGGUUAGACAAAGGGAAGAAUAAAGUUGAAGACUAAGUUGGUGAAUUUGGCUAUAAUUGGUACCGAGUAUUGCAAAGCUACUUCAAGGAUCCUAAAGAAGUCGGAGAUCGUCCACACUAUCAACCACAACUGCUCGGUAUUUUAUAUCGAAUCAUGUUUGAGUUAUGGCAUGUAUAGGGAUUUAGUUAUUUUGUAUGUUUGUGAUUAUGAUUUUGCUAAAGAAUGGUGUGUAAGUAUUUGAUGAUGUAUGGUUAUUAAAAUGGUUAAGUAUGAAGGUAUUUGUUGUUAUAAGAGUCUAGGUGAUAAAUUAUGUAUGGAAAUCAUGAAAGGAUGAAAUUUUGCAAAGAAACAGAAUUCAGGCAGUAACAGUGACGUAACUUUGAAAAAUCACCCAAGAUAGUAUAAAAUGAAUUAGAGGGUGAAUGAUAUAUGGAAUUAAAUCUUGUUGAGUCUAUUUUCAUGGAAAAAUAACGCUGUAGCGAAAGGAAUUUUAUAUUUUAAGAUAUGUGAAUUUUUGUGAGA